rnacentral:misc_RNA from 1 species
GAAAUGCGAUAAGUAAUGUGAAUUGCAGAAUUCAGUGAAUCAUCGAAUCUUUGAACGCACCUUGCGCUCCUUGGUAUUCCUUGGAGCAUGCCUGUUUGAGUAUCAUGAAAUCUUCAAAGUAAAUCUUUUGUUAACUCAAUUGGUUUCUACUUUGGUAUUGGAGGUCUUUGCAGCUUCACACCUGCUCCUCUUUGUUCAUUAGCUGGAUCUCAGUGUUAUGCUUGGUUCCACUCGGCGUGAUAAGUUAUCUAUCGCUGAGGACACUGUAAAAGGUGGCCAAGGUAAAUGCAGAUGAACCGCUUCUAAUAGUCCAUUGACUUGGACAAUACUUUUAUGAUCUGAUCUCAAAUCAGGUAGGAAGACCCGCUGAACUUAAGC